GCGGUCAUCGUCUAGUUUGGUUAGGACACUGGCCUUCCAAGCCCGCAACCCGGGACUCUAGUUAAUUAGAGCGGGAAUUCAAAUCCCGGUGACCGCA
rnacentral:tRNA from 1 species